rnacentral:rRNA from 1 species
GACGAACGCUGGCGGCGUGCUUAACACAUGCAAGUCGAACGGAAAGGCCCUUCGGGGUACUCGAGUGGCGAACGGGUGAGUAACACGUGGGUGAUCUGCCCUGCACUUUGGGAUAAGCCUGGGAAACUGGGUCUAAUACCGAAUAGGACCACGCGCUUCAUGGUGUGUGGUGGAAAGCUUUUGCGGUGUGGGAUGGGCCCGCGGCCUAUCAGCUUGUUGGUGGGGUAAUGGCCUACCAAGGCGACGACGGGUAGCCGGCCUGAGAGGGUGACCGGCCACACUGGGACUGAGAGACGGCCCAGACUCCUACGGGAGGCAGCGGUGGGGAGUAUUGCACAAUGGGCGCAAGCCUGAUGCAGCGACGCCGCGUGAGGGAUGACGGCCUUCGGGUUGUAAACCUCUUUCAAUAGGGACGAAGCGCAAGUGACGGUACCUAUAGAAGAAGCACCGGCCAACUACGUG